UCCAAGAAACUAACCUUCCUUGGGUCACUCUUCUUCCCAUGGCUUUACUGUGGCGAUAAAAGUCACAGGAAUGGACUCCUGGAUGCAUCACUCAAGUCAAAGCCUGGAAACCUGAGAGAGAGAGCAACCCCAGACAGCCCAGAGGAAUGUCCUGGAUAUCCAUGUGAAGAAAUAGGAGAUCUUAAGCUGAAAAUCAUAAAAGAUAAGUAAAUGAGUAAGGGCUAUUCAUCCUACUCAGUCCCACUCCUACCUUAUCAGAUACUUUCAGUUAUUUCUACUUUUCCUCUCGAGAUUCGCUGUGAGAUACUAGAACUUCUUUUUGAUGCAUACUUGUGGGAAGAUUUUGAUUAUCCAUGAGAUUACAGUUGUAACUUCAUAGACUCCCAAAGGGAAAUUCUUGAAAGAUCACUCUGGCUGACAGAUAGGAGGAUGGGCUGGGAGGCAAGAAACUGCAGACUGGGACCAAACAGGAGGAUAACAGCAAUGAGCAGAGAUAAGGUCUCACUACGUUGCCCAGGCUGGCCUCAAACUCCUGGGCUCAAACAAUCCUCCUGCCUCAGCCUCCCAAAGUGCUGGGAUUACAAGUGUGAGUGACCAUGCCUGGCCAACCCACAGCUUUCAAAGCGUGCUGAUUUCAACUGCUACUCUGAUGCAGAAUAUCAUACUGACUGGACCUGGCGAGCAGGAAAAGUUGCAAACACCCUAGAUGCCUUAGUAAGAUAC
rnacentral:lncRNA from 1 species